UUCCGGUUGAUCCUGCCGGACUUGAAUCACAGAGGGGAAACUAGAAUUCCAGGUGUAGGGGUGGAAUCUGUAGAUAUCUGGAAGAAUACCGGUGGCGAAGGCGGGUUUCUAGCUGAUGAUUGACGCUGAGGUGCGAAAGUGCGGGGAGCAAACAGGAUUAGAUACCCUGGUAGUCCGCACCGUAAACGAUGUGCACUAGGUGUCGGGGCAUGAGUCUCGGUGCCAAAGCUAAC
rnacentral:rRNA from 1 species